CUGUCCUUCUCCCAAUCAGGUUAUAGUACUGGAUAUUAACAAUCGUGUUAAGGUUUACGGACGGAAAAGUGAAUUAGGUUUAAAACUUUCCAGCCUUGGUUUUUCAACUCUCCUUGUGAACCUCAAUAAUGGAUAAAAAUCAAGCCUAUAAAUUGUUGCAAAGCUUCCAGCAUUGUGCAUACCAGCUGAGUAAGCUUGAAGACUUUCAAAAUGCAGCAAG